AAGUCGUAACAAGGUCUCCGUUGGUGAACCAGCGGAGGGAUCAUUGGUGACUUGUCCGCUCCAAAACACUGUGAACAUACCACUACGUUGCCUCGGCAGGCGGCUCCAGGGAGGAGCCUCCGGCCCCCUAUUGGGGGGGUGCCUGCCACAGGCCCCGGUUACUUGUUGUCUCUAGGCCGCUCUGAGUACCUGCAACAGCAGUGAAAACUUUCAACAAUGGAUCUCUUGGCUCUG
rnacentral:misc_RNA from 1 species